rnacentral:rRNA from 1 species
UACAGAGGGUGCAAGCGGUAAUCGGAAUUACUGGGCGUAAAGCGUGCGUAGACGGUUAUGUAAGUCGGGUGUGAAAGCCCCGGGCUCAACCUGGGAAUUGCAUUCGAGACUGCGUAGCUAGGGUGCGGAAGAGGGAAGCGGAAUUUCCGGUGUAGCGGUGAAAUGCGUAGAUAUCAAGUGGAACACCAGUGGCGAAGGCGAGUCUCUGGACAUUUCCUGACGCUGAGGCACGAAAGCCAGGGGAGCAAACGGG